rnacentral:rRNA from 1 species
GCUUACGGCCAUACCAGCCUGGGUACGCCCGAUCUCGUCUGAUCUCGGAAGCUAAGCCGGGUCGGGCCUGGUUAGUACUUGGAUGGGAGACCGCCUGGGAAUACCAGGUGCUGUAAGGA